rnacentral:lncRNA from 1 species
UGCUUCACACCGAAACCCUAGCCUCCGUGUUCCUUUGGCUUGAAGCUUCUACAUCUCAUUUUCUAUGAAAACAUACGCUUGUGCUUGAAUCGACUGAUAAAGGAAACACGCUUUGCCCUUUCCAAUUCCUGCUCUCAAACCCUACUGUCCGAAUACACAUCUUCCCCUUCACGUUUCCUGCCGAUCAAUCGAUUUAUCAAUCCUAUAAUAUACUAAUCUCAUCAAUGUUGAAAGCCAUCAUCAAUUUGGUGUAGAUGGGUAUUCAAGAAAAUAAAGGCAUAAGUGGGAGUUUGGGUUCGUUUCUUACUCGCAGAUGCUUUGGUUGUCUUAUGAGGGGCUACUUAGAAGGUUUUGGUGUGUGCUGCCUCCUUUAGAAGAAGAGGAUGUUCCUCAACUAUACCCAAAAGGGCCAAAUCUUGGUGAGUGAGCUUGAGAAACAGUUGAAAAUGGAGAUAAAAUCAAGAAACAGAGCCAGAGCCGAAAAGAUCUGGUAAAAGACAUAAUUUCUCUUUAGAUGAUGGUAAUUUAGGGUCUUUUGAUGAGGAUAUUUUUGGGUAGUCUAAUGAGAAUAAGAGUCAGAAAGAAAGAUGGAGCUGAAGAUCUUUUAAAAAAGAAGAUGACAAUGGCUAGAUUUUAUGUAUUUUGGUUCCAGCGGAAUGAAAUGGUCAAGACCGGGUUCUCCGGGUUCGGAGGAACCCGACUUUGUAGUGGGGCUACUUCAACUUAAAAGAUGAAACAAGGGUUACUAAAUAAAGUUCAAUAAGCAAUCCCAAACACCCCUCUAAAAGUAACUUAUUUAGUUAAUGCUUAAAAGUCAAAUGUGGUCAUGAUUUGUUCUUUUGAUGUUUUUCUUUUCUUAUAUGCUCAGGCAUGAUUUUACUUUCAACAACUUAUAUCAUGAGUUAGUUACUGUCAUUCAAUGUUAUACAAUCUUUUCGUUCAGUUUACCAUUCUACCAUUUCUUUGUUCAUAACAAUAUCGCCUCUAGCUCUAUUCUUCACCGAUUAUUGUGUUGCAGGACAUUUGUCACGGAUAUCUUAAGCUUGAAAAUACACUGUUGGAAGUGCAGCUCCUCGUGUUAAAAAUACUUAAAAUAUGUGAUUUUGGGUAUUCAAAGUUUGAUCACAAAUGUUGCAGCCGCUCCUCUCACCGAUCGACCUGAUCACAAGUGCAGGAUUCCGGCGACAUUCGAUUAGGAUUCCGGUUAGGUCAAUUUGAAUUCAGCGAGUGGUUGCAAUUGAUAAGAUUUGAUUAGCAUGGAACAUCGAAAGGAUGAGGUUGUUGAGAGGAUCAACUUUAGAUCAUAAAAUGAUGCACUCAUAGCUGCGACUUCAAGAUGGAAAGGUUGAACAUGAUCAUACAAGAGAUGGUGAAAGAAAAAGAAGAGAAAGAAAGGUUGAACGGAAGGAUGACAAAUGUUGAACGAUGCUAAAAAUUAGGUAUCAAAACGUCUAAUCAUCGAGUUGGUUAUAAGCACUUUAUUUUGGAUAUGUAUUUUGUUCGGAGAACUCAUGUAUUUAAUUUGAUGUUUUAAGUGGAAUGCUUUAUAUAAUUUUGAAAAUUCUAGAAAUGCU